rnacentral:rRNA from 1 species
GUUCAUGACUGGGGUGAAGUCGUAACAAGGUAGCCCUAGGGGAACCUGGGGCUGGAUCACCUCCUUAACGA